rnacentral:misc_RNA from 1 species
AACGCAAAUUGUACUCUCUGGUAUUCCGGAGAGUAUGCCUGUUUGAGGGUCAAUUAAAUAAAAUCGGGCGUUUUUACUGUCCGGAAUUGGGUCGUCAUAAUUUCGGUUAAGUGACCUAAAAUUUUGUAUGAUUUUUACAAACGUAUUUAAAAUAUUUUUUAUACGUUUUUGUAAUAUUCAGUUUAUUAGAUGUGGUCAUUUUCGUGGUUCGCGUCUAUAAUUUCUCAUCUAUUGACCUCAAAUCAGGUAAGAAUACCCGCUGAACUUAA